rnacentral:rRNA from 1 species
GACGAACGCUGGCGGCGUGCUUAACACAUGCAAGUCGAACGGAAAGGCCUCUUUCGGGGGGUACUCGAGUGGCGAACGGGUGAGUAACACGUGAGUAACCUGCCCUUGACUUUGGGAUAACUUCAGGAAACUGGGGCUAAUACCGGAUAGGAGCUCCUGCUGCAUGGUGGGGGUUGGAAAGUUUCGGCGGUUGGGGAUGGACUCGCGGCUUAUCAGCUUGUUGGUGGGGUAGUGGCUUACCAAGGCUUUGACGGGUAGCCGGCCUGAGAGGGUGACCGGCCACAGUGGGACUGAGAUACGGCCCAGACGCCUACGGGAGGCAGCAGGGGGGAAUAUUGCACAAGGGGUGGAAGCCUGAUGCAGCAACGCCGUGGGCGGGAGGACGGCCUUCGGGUUGUAAACCGCUUUCGCUCAUGACGAAGCUUUGUGUGACGGUAGUGGGUAAAGAAGCACCGGCUAACUACGUG